CCAGACUCCUACGGGAGGCAGCAGUGGGGAAUAUUGGACAAUGGGGGGAACCCUGAUCCAGCGACGCCGCGUGAGUGAGGAAGUAUUUCGGUAUGUAAAGCUCUAUCAGCAGGGAAGAAAGAAAUGGCGGUACCUGACUAAGAAGCCCCGGCUAACUACGUGCCAGCAGCCGCGGUAAUACGUAGGGGGCAAGCGUUAUCCGGAUUCACUGGGUGUAAAGGGAGCGUAGACGGCCAUGCAAGCCAGGGGUGAAAGCCUGGGGCCCAACCCCGGGACUGCCCUUGGAACUGCAUGGCUGGAGUGCGGGAGGGGCAGGCGGAAUUCCUGGUGUAGCGGUGAAAUGCGUAGAUAUCAGGAGGAACACCGGCGGCGAAGGCGGCCUGCUGGACCGCGACUGACGUUGAGGCUCGAAAGCGUGGGGAGCGAACAGGAUUAGAUACCCUAGUAC
rnacentral:rRNA from 1 species